GAUAGGGGACGACAUGGGCCUGCAGUCGUGGAGCGAUUGCGGCGAUUGCAUUUAUUGCAUUUAUAGUGGCAUUUAUUGAGAAAAAAUAUUUUGGAGGACAGGUUUGAUAGAAAAGGGGGAUUUUGAAUGCACAAAGUUGCUGGCGUCGCGAUUGGAAUCAAUGUCGUCUCAGCAAAACGCAGGUGUGGAGCUUUGCAGCUUUUUCAUCUUUAAUUCAACCUUUGGACCCCGGGAGGGUGAGGAGGAGAACAAAAUCAUAUACUACCACCCACCCUCAGUCGACAUCAACAGCAAGGUCAAAGAUGUCGGCCUGGUCGAAGCACUGGUGCAGUUUUCGAGAACAUUCAACAGUGAAUCUCCUCUACUCAGCAUGCAAACGCUGAAGCAAAAGCACUUCUUCUUGGAACCAGAGAAAGACUUCUUCAUGACUCUGGUGGUGCGCCAGCCGGUCGAGGAGGUCACCAGAAACAACUCUCCGUACAAGGAGUACACCCCGGAGGCCGUACAGCAGUCGGUGUACCUCUCCGUGCUGCGACACAUGUACCAGAUGUACCGGCUGCUGCGCGGUACACUGGCGGCCCAGAGCCGCGACGAGCUGGUACGCAGCACUGCGGAGAUAUUCGACAGCUACGUGCCGGUGCUGCGGCUCCAGCAGCGCGACAUUCGAGACGUCUACGGCGGCGUCCGCUUCCUCUCGCUGGAUCGACUCGCCUUCCUGAAGCUGCAGAGCUUCGUCAACCAGCUGGAGGUGCUACACCCCUUCAUCCGACACUCGGUCAUCUACUACAAACAGCAUCUCAUCUGGUCGGGCCUGGGUAAGACCAACAUGGGCAUCAUCCACUGGUACCUGGAGACGGUGCUGUUUCCCGAGUGUGGUCCCGAACGGCCGGCCGUCUGGAAGGAACGCACCGCACCCACCAGCGGAGUCUUCAUGUCCACCGAGGCAUCCGGUGACGGCACGGAUUCGUUCCUGGCGCCGCCUAUCGUCCACCUGCGGAAGCACAACUGCACAGCUCUGCCGCUGGGCGGCGCUGCGGACGGCUGCAGCAGGGACGGGGAUGACAGUUGGAACGGUGGCGAUCCGGUGGAGGCGACGGACGAGCGGGCUCAGCUGGUGCUCUACCGACUGAGAGACGUGGUGGUCGUCCUACUGGUGGACCUGGAGGUGCGCCUCACUCUGCCCCUCUGCCGGGAGCUGGAUGCCUCGAUGGCUGGACCCGUUCAGGAGCUCUCCACUCUACUGAGUAGCGCCAUCAACGACGACAAGUCGUCGGGCAAAGACGACGGAGACACGAAACUGAUCUACUAUAACCGGUGUAACCGCGCUCAGAAGAGCAGCCUGCACGGCCCGACGGCCGCCUCUGUGCCGUCGGACGCCCUCCAGCUGAUGGUCGACCUCAGAGAGGACGCGCUCAGGUCGGGUCACCGGCGGCGAGGGGCGAUGUUUACCUUCACUGAUCGGUGUUUGGAGGGAGGCAAAUGUACAGACUAUGGGCAGAGGGACAGAUUUCAUUUUAUUUUAUUUUAUUUUAUUUUAUUUUAUUUUAUUUCAUUUUAUGAAUUUUUGAGUUUUUUGUGUUGUUUUAUUAUGUUUUCUUUUUUUCUUUUAGCGAGGAACGAUUCCUCUUUUUUUCCCGUCGUAUGCGUUCCCGUUAUACAUAAUCGUGGGUCUUGCGAGUUUGUACCAAUACUUACGGGUCGCUAUGAGUAGUCCACAGUGCUGUUGUUAUAUUGUAUAACUGCGUUUAUGAUAGAGCUGCCCCACCUUUGACAGGUUCCAGGGUGACGGCGGCGCGAUCUUCGGUCGGGCCAUGAACGAGACCUGGGUGGCCGGCCGGGUCAACCCCAAUAGGGAGUUCUUCUCCGUGGUCCAACAGAAGAAUAUGAACCUUAUGGACGUCAACAAUGAGAUGGAGCAGCUAUGUAAGGACCAGUUUAGUACAAUCUUCUUCCCGGCAUGAGCCACCUGUGCCCACCGAGCUCCUGCAAGUGGCGACUCUAUCAACAAGGUCCGGCUGGUCAUCCACCGAGUCUGAUCAAAGGCAACAGUGUCUGCUAUGUCUCUACAAUAGCGACGAUGCCUACCGAGGAAUGACUGACGACACAAAGUCAAUGCAAGGGAGACAAAUUAGAGGAGCACAUACACAGGAAGAGGAGUAGCCGGGACCUCUCAGCUCCUGAACGUCUUCCCAGUCUCCUUGAGAAUCUGCUGAGUUUGUCGUAGAGCUGGGGUCUACUAUCGGACACUGUCCAACAGCCCGACAGUCCUAUGACACAUCAACAACUACCGAAUAUUGACCUGAUAGCUCGAACUCACCCAUUCUGUCUCGGCCUCGAGUGUCGGUUAUCUCUGGCUGAGAGAGGGAGGGAGACGAUGGUAGCGCUGUCUCCUGUUCGUAAUGACCCGCUAUAUGAGCAUCGGUGAUGCUGUGCCUAUGAAGAGGUAUACGCAAACUUUGGCACAGGUCUGCUGUGAUCAGCUGGAGAGACAUGUAAACUUAUGAACUGCACUGCGACUAUGUGAAGGAUAGAUAGACAAACCACUAGCGCUGAUCCGAGGUUUACCAUGAAGUCGUUGCACGGCGCUGGUUCGCUGUUAAUGGAGACAGACACGAAUACGACAGCUGAUACCGAGUGUUUGCAUUAUCUACACGGCUGUGGGAUGUGGGUGCUGGUGCGAUGAUAUGAUGUUUUACCCAGGCGGUGCUGCUGAUACACCGUUCGGGACUUAUAUCUUGCACACAAUGCGAGGACAGUGUAAUGUGUCUUGUGCCCGAUUCCUGAACGUGUGCUUGUAUCAUUUGCACAUUGUAAUUUAUGUGGCAUUGUAAUCUGUCGCUUUGGUUGUAUGUUUCAUACCCACAAUCCUGAAAAUGUAUGGGAAAAUACUGUGAUAUGACGUAUACCUCUGUAGCUCAUAAUACAGAUUAAUCAUCGAAAGA
rnacentral:misc_RNA from 1 species